rnacentral:lncRNA from 1 species
UGAACCAAUAAAUAAGAGUAUGUAUCAGGGAUAAAGGAAAACGAACAGCAUGCUAAAUAAUUAUGCUUACUUUAUGGGAUCAAGUUCAUGUCUUCACAGUAGCCUUGCCAAUAUAUUUGCACUAACCAAAGCUAAGAUAAUAUGAAUAUGAACAUAAAUAAAGAGAAGAGGUCAGAACCUGAAGCAAGAAGGAGAAGAGGACUGAACCUGAAGCAAG